rnacentral:rRNA from 1 species
UACGGAGGGUGCGAGCGUUGUUCGGAAUUAUUGGGCGUAAAGCGCGUGUAGGCGGUUCGUUAAGUCUGAUGUGAAAGCCCCGGGCUCAACCUGGGAAGUGCAUUGGAAACUGGCGAACUUGAGUACGGGAGAGGGUAGUGGAAUUCCGAGUGUAGGGGUGAAAUCCGUAGAUAUUCGGAGGAACACCGGUGGCGAAGGCGGCUACCUGGACCGAUACUGACGCUGAGACGCGAAAGCGUGGGGAGCAAACAGG